rnacentral:sRNA from 1 species
GGCAUCAGGUUGAGUUGAUAAGGUUCGUGGAGUUGGACGUCACGAUCUGCGUGAAGAGGUUAGUUAACCUAUCCAUCUCUCUGUAUCUAGAAAGAAGCCCAGGCACCUACAAGUACUUAGGGCCUAUCAACUUUCCACCACAUCCAAUUGUGCAUUGCUACGACGCGCGGGACUACAUCUAUACAAUCGGAGUAGACUGCCUCAUUACCGGAGAGAAUUACGUUCCCUAAGCAUGCUGGUGAAUAAAACGUGCUUCCUUUGCGUACGCUGCGUGGUGGCCAUGCUUUUUGGCUGCGAAGCUCCCUGAGGAACGUCUAAACAGCG